rnacentral:rRNA from 1 species
UACACUCCUACGGGAGGCAGCAGUGGGGAAUUUUGGACAAUGGGCGAAAGCCUGAUCCAGCAAUGCCGCGUGUGUGAAGAAGGCCUUCGGGUUGUAAAGCACUUUUGUCCGGAAAGAAAUCCUUGGCUCUAAUACAGUCGGGGGAUGACGGUACCGGAAGAAUAAGCACCGGCUAACUACGUGCCAGCAGCCGCGGUAAUACGUAGGGUGCGAGCGUUAAUCGGAAUUACUGGGCGUAAAGCGUGCGCAGGCGGUUUGCUAAGACCGAUGUGAAAUCCCCGGGCUCAACCUGGGAACUGCAUUGGUGACUGGCAGGCUAGAGUAUGGCAGAGGGGGGUAGAAUUCCACGUGUAGCAGUGAAAUGCGUAGAGAUGUGGAGGAAUACCGAUGGCGAAGGCAGCCCCCUGGGCCAAUACUGACGCUCAUGCACGAAAGCGUGGGGAGCAAACAGGAUUAGAAACCCCAGUAGUCCCAUGA